CAAUGGGAUCAUAACACCUUCAUCCCAUCGUUUUGGCAAAAGCAAAGAGAUCCAAAACACUUGUUGGAAAUGGCCAUUUCGAUGCUCAAUCUGUAUACACGUACCUGUCGUCAACAUUUCCAGAAUAGUGUUUCUUUUCCAGUCAUCUCCAAACCGUCAAACUUCAGCAUCAAAACUGAACUCAGGUUCCCCUAUUCCCUCACAAUUCAAGAUACUAGGAUUAGGUUUCGCGGCUUCAUUUGUAGUUCAAAUUCUACUCUAGAGAACGACAUCUUGGUCCCAACCGGACACGGGAACACCUGGAAAAGUGAAAAUGAGAUUCUUGGCAGUUUGCGGAGGUGGGCCGAUUUUAUCAAUUCCGUGUUGCCGGGAGGAUGUUGGUGGAGUUUAAGCGAUUGCAAAGAAGAAGAUGAUUAUCCGAAUGCGGAAAAGCCGAUUACUGGUUUGAAUGCUGUUUGUAGAAUGUGGGAAUUUAUAGCGGAUGAUAAAUGGGCAAUAUACACGGGGUUUGGUGCUUUAACUGUUGCUGCGCUUGCAGAAAUCAGAAUUCCAAGUGUAUUGGCAGCAUCCAUCUUUUCGGCACAGAGAGGCGAAACUAUGUUGUUGUACAGAAACUUGAAGCUCUUGGUUUUGCUAUCUUUAAUCUCAGGAAUAUGCAGUGGGUUGCGGCGUGGCUCCUUGGGAUAUGCGAAUACUGCAAUGCUUAAGAAUCUAAGAAAAAGGUUGUUUGGUUCUGUUCUUUCUCAGGAUAUAUCCUUUUUUGACAGACGGCCGGUCGGUGAAUUGACAAGCAGGCUUGGAACAGAUUGCCAACGACUAUCAAACACUAUUGGAAACGAUAUACAUAUGAUGGUGAGAAGUGCAAUUCAGGGAACAGGUGCAUUGAUCCACUUAAUGACUUUGUCAUUGCCACUUGCCUUAUCAACAAUAAUUAUAUGCUUUGUCCUAUCAACCAUCUUUCUUGUCUAUAGCCGGUACCAAAAGAAAGCAGCAAAGGUUACACAAGAAUUCACUGCUCUUACUGUUGAGGUUGCUCAAGAAGCAUUUUCUUUGGUGAGAACAAUCCGUACUUAUGGAAUGGAAAGAGAGGAGGAACAAAGGUUUAAGCAUUGCCUACAGAGCCUAGCUUCUGUUGGGAUGAGAGAAAGUGUUGCAUAUGGAUUUUGGAAUCUCAGUUUCAAUGGUUUAUACCGCUCAACACAGGUUUUUGCAGUCAUGUUGGGAGGAAUGUUUAUAAUGACCGGUCACAUUUCAGCUGAGCAACUUACAAAAUAUGUUUUGUACUGUGAAUGGUUAAUUUUUGCUGCUUGGAGGGUCCAGGACAACAUGUCAUCGUUUCUCCAGUCCGUUGGAGCCUGUGAAAAGGUUUUUCAGUUGUUGGAUCUCUUUCCAAGUGAUCAACACCUGUCUCAAGUAGUGAAAAGGCUAACAAGAAGUAUACAGUUUGUGAAUGUGUCCUUUCAGUACCCCUCCAGAAAAAUGGUGCCCUGCCUGAAAAAUGUCAGUUUCUCAAUUCAAGCUAAUGAAGUAACUGCAAUUGUUGGUGCCAGUGGUAGUGGGAAAAGUACGUUAAUCAACCUUUUGCUUCGCCUCUAUGAACCAACUGAUGGCCAAAUCAUGAUUGAUGAUUUUGCGCUUAGAGAGCUGGACAUAAACUGGCUGAGAAGAAACAUUGGAUAUGUUGGACAGGAGCCUCACCUUUUCCAUUUGGAUAUCAAGUCAAACAUAAGUUAUGGGUGCUCCAAAUCUGCAACUCGGGAAGACAUAGAACAGGCUGCAAAGCAGGCAUACGCACAUGAAUUCAUAUGUUCACUUCCCCAUGGCUAUGACACAAUUGUGGAUGAUCAUCUGUUAAGUGGAGGCCAAAAGCAACGCAUUGUCCUUGCCAGGGCCAUUCUUAGAGACCCUGCUAUUUUGAUCCUUGAUGAGGCUACUAGUGCACUGGAUGCAGAAAGUGAAUACUACAUCAAGGAAUUUCUUCAUGCUCUUAAACAUGAUAAUGAUGAUGGUAAUGCAAGUAGAAGUGUGAUUGUGAUAGCAAACAGGUUGUCUAUGAUAGAAGUUGCUGAUAAAGUAGUGGUUUUGGAUAGGGGAGAAAUUGUUGAGCUGGGUACCCACUCUGAUCUGGUUAGGCAGAAUGGGAUGUAUGCUAAGCUUGUAAAGAUGCAAACCGAUAUGCUGCCUUAACAAACAACUGUAUUAUCUAUCACUCUAAGCAGCAAAGCCAUUAAAACUGCAGAACCAAACAAAAGUGGUACAAGCAAGAGAGAAGCAUUUGAAGCUACCUUCCACGCGGCGCGGCAUGGCAAUUGGCAAGGCAAGACUAACAUGCGGCCUUUGCCACGAGGUGGCAUCUGAAUAAAGAUCAUAAGCAAUGUGAAGCAUGCAGUCUUGAAACUUUGUGAAUACACUUCCAUAGCACGAGUACUAGCAUGCCUUGUACUUGCGUAACUUGCCCAGCCAUGCUAAGCCGCUUUUAUUUUUAUUUUUUAUUUUCUAGUUUAUCUGCAAUCAUUAUAUUAUGUAGUAUGGUUUAUCUUAAGGUGAAUUACUGACAUAAUAUUUAUUUUUAAAUGUUCAUUUUUAAUACAUAGAAUAAAC